rnacentral:rRNA from 1 species
UACGAAGGGGGCUAGCGUUGCUCGGAAUCACUGGGCGUAAAGGGCGCGUAGGCGGCCAUUCAAGUCAGGGGUGAAAGCCUGUGGCUCAACCACAGAAUUGCCUUUGAUACUGUUUGGCUAGAGACCGGAAGAGGUAAGUGGAACUGCGAGUGUAGAGGUGAAAUUCGUAGAUAUUCGCAAGAACACCAGUGGCGAAGGCGGCUCACUGGUCCGGUUCUGACGCUGAGGCGCGAAAGCGA